rnacentral:lncRNA from 1 species
AAAAUGUCGAUCAAAUGCAGUUAUUUUUUUGUCUCUAAUUGAAGGAAAUGGUCUUGAUGACUGUUUGAGAAAAGUUGCUAAGAAAAUCUUGACAGCAAAACUCUCAAUGCUUUAUAACUUUACAGGAAGAAAAGAGUAAAUUAGAGUUUGGUUGUCUAGUUGGGGUGAAAAAUGUGAUAUAUGUUUACCAUGUUUUGUCAACUCGUUUUUCAGGAGGUAAUGGCAGUAGUUCAAUGUUGUAGUUUAUUAAAGAAAUCCACUAGCUGUUUUGGCCUCAGGGAAUAGGUGCUACAAAAUAGGCAAAAUAAGAAAUACACUCAUAUUAAAUAAUAAACACUGACCUAUCUAUCCAUAAUU